UAGUAACGGCGAGUGAAGAGGGAAAAGCUCAAAUUUUGAAUCUGGUGUCUUUGGCGCCCGAGUUGUAAUCUAGAGAAGUGUUUUCUGCCUCGGACCACACAUAAAUUCCCUGGAAUGGGGUGUCAUAGAGGGUGAGAAUCCCGUUUGUGGUGUGGACUACCUUGGCUCUGUGAUACACUCUCAACGAGUCGAGUUGUUUGGGAAUGCAGCUCAAAAUGGGUGGUAAAUUCCAUCUAAAGCUAAAUAUUGGCGAGAGACCGAUAGCGAACAAGUACCGUGAGGGAAAGAUGAAAAGCACUUUGGAAAGAGAGUGAAACAGUACGUGAAAUUGUUGAAAGGGAAGCGUUUGAAGUCAGUCACAUCGGUCGGAAUUCAGCCUGGCUUUGCCUGGUGUACUUUCUGGCAGAUGGGUCAGCGUCAAUUUCGACUGAGGGAAAAAGACUUGAGGAAUGUGGCUGUCCUCGGGCAGUGUUAUAGCCUCUUGUUGUAUGUCUCAGUUGGGAUUGAGGACCGCAGCACGCCUUAUGGCCGGGGUUCGCGCCCUCGGAACGUGCUUAGGA
rnacentral:rRNA from 1 species